GAAAAGUUUGAUUCUAGCUUUAGUUUUUUUAGUUAAAAUUUUGCACAUGUAAAAUGAGGCAGUGUUUUGUAUUGUAAAAAUUUUAUAAAGAUGCAAAAUUUUUAUUUCGGCGUAGAAAAAUUUGUGCCAGCGUCUGCGGUUAGACAAUAAGUGUUAAAUAAAUAGAAUGAAAUGAAAUAAUUUAAAAAAGAAAAAAAUUAAAUUAAUUAAGUUUAGGUAAAAUUAUUUUUAAUUAAAAUAAUUUUUAUUAAUUUAAUUUAAAAGUAAGAUUUAAGACUAGGAUUAGAUACCCUGUUAUUUUAAUUAAUUUUAAGGUAUUAGUAGGAUGAAACCUAAAGAAUUUGGCGGUAAUUAAUUCUUUCUAGAGGAAUCUGUUUCGUUAAUGACAGUUCACAAUUUAGUUACUUUUUUUUAGUUUAUAUACCGUUGUUGCCUAAGGUAAAUUAAAAUUUAGUUUUUUAAGUUUAAUAAAAUUAAAUUCAAAUCAAGGUUUAGUUUUUAAAAAAGAAGAAAAUGGAUUACAGUAAAAAAUUAUGCGGAUAUCAUGAAGAUGGAUUUAGAAGUAAUUUAUUUAAAAUUUUUGUUUUGAAUUUAGUUCUUAAUUAUGUACACAUCGCCCGUCGCUCUAGUUAUGAAAUUAGAUAAGUCGUAACAAAGUAGAAGUUCUGGAAAGAGUUUCUUGAGCUUU
rnacentral:ncRNA from 1 species